AGUGAACGCUGGCGGUAGGCCUAACACAUGCAAGUCGAACGGCAGCACAGUAAGAGCUUGCUCUUACGGGUGGCGAGUGGCGGACGGGUGAGGAAUACAUCGGAAUCUACUUUUUCGUGGGGGAUAACGUAGGGAAACUUACGCUAAUACCGCAUACGACCUACGGGUGAAAGCAGGGGAUCUUCGGACCUUGCGCGAUUGAAUGAGCCGAUGUCGGAUUAGCUAGUUGGCGGGGUAAGGGCCCACCAAGGCGACGAUCCGUAGCUGGUCUGAGAGGAUGAUCAGCCACACUGGAACUGAGACACGGUCCAGACUCCUACGGGAGGCAGCAGUGGGGAAUAUUAGACAAUGGGCGCGAGCCUGAUCCAGCCAUACCGCGUGGGUGAAGAAGGCCUUCGGGUUGUAGAGCCCUUUUGUUGGGAAAGAAAAGCAGCAGGUUAAUACCCCGCUGUUCUGACGGUACCCGAAGAAUAAGCACCGGCUAACUUCGUG
rnacentral:rRNA from 1 species